GAUGAACGCUAGCGGCAGGCUUAACACAUGCAAGUCGAGGGGUAGAACACUUCGGUGUUUGAGACCGGCGCACGGGUGCGUAACGCGUAUGCAAUCUACCUUAUACAGGGGGAUAGCCCAGAGAAAUUUGGAUUAAUACCCCAUAGUAUCUUCAAAUGGCAUCAUUUGAUUAUUAAAGUUCCAACGGUAUAAGAUGAGCAUGCGUCCCAUUAGCUAGAUGGUAAGGUAACGGCUUACCAUGGCAACGAUGGGUAGGGGUCCUGAGAAGGAGAUCCCCCCCACUGGUACUGAGACACGGACCAGACUCCUACGGGAGGCAGCAGUGAGGAAUAUUGGUCAAUGGACGCAAGUCUGAACCAGCCAUGCCGCGUGCAGGAUGAAGCAUCUAUGGUGUGUAAACUGCUUUUGUACGGGAAGAAACACUCCCUCGUGAGGGAGCUUGACGGUACCGUAAGAAUAAGGAUCGGCUAACUCCGUGCCAGCAGCCGCCGUAACAC
rnacentral:rRNA from 1 species